GGGAGCUUGCUCCCUGAUGUUAGCGGCGGACGGGUGAGUAACACGUGGGUAACCUGCCUGUAAGACUGGGAUAACUCCGGGAAACCGGGGCUAAUACCGGAUGGUUGUUUGAACCGCAUGGUUCAAACAUAAAAGGUGGCUUCGGCUACCACUUACAGAUGGACCCGCGGCGCAUUAGCUAGUUGGUGAGGUAACGGCUCACCAAGGCGACGAUGCGUAGCCGACCUGAGAGGGUGAUCGGCCACACUGGGACUGAGACACGGCCCAGACUCCUACGGGAGGCAGCAGUAGGGAAUCUUCCGCAAUGGACGAAAGUCUGACGGAGCAACGCCGCGUGAGUGAUGAAGGUUUUCGGAUCGUAAAGCUCUGUUGUUAGGGAAGAACAAGUACCGUUCGAAUAGGGCGGUACCUUGACGGUACCUAACCAGAAAGCCACGGCUAACUACGUGCCAGCAGCCGCGGUAAUACGUAGGUGGCAAGCGUUGUCCGGAAUUAUUGGGCGUAAAGGGCUCGCAGGCGGUUUCUUAAGUCUGAUGUGAAAGCCCCCGGCUCAACCGGGGAGGGUCAUUGGAAACUGGGGAACUUGAGUGCAGAAGAGGAGAGUGGAAUUCCACGUGUAGCGGUGAAAUGCGUAGAGAUGUGGAGGAACACCAGUGGCGAAGGCGACUCUCUGGUCUGUAACUGACGCUGAGGAGCGAAAGCGUGGGGAGCGAACAGGAUUAGAUACCCUGGUAGUCCACGCCGUAAACGAUGAGUGCUAAGUGUUAGGGGGUUUCCGCCCCUUAGUGCUGCAGCUAACGCAUUAAGCACUCCGCCUGGGGAGUACGGUCGCAAGACUGAAACUCAAAGGAAUUGACGGGGGCCCGCACAAGCGGUGGAGCAUGUGGUUUAAUUCGAAGCAACGCGAAGAACCUUACCAGGUCUUGACAUCCUUUGACAAUCCUAGAGAUAGGACGUCCCCUUCGGGGGCAGAGUGACAGGUGGUGCAUGGUUGUCGUCAGCUCGUGUCGUGAGAUGUUGGGUUAAGUCCCGCAACGAGCGCAACCCUUGAUCUUAGUUGCCAGCAUUCAGUUGGGCACUCUAAGGUGACUGCCGGUGACAAACCGGAGGAAGGUGGGGAUGACGUCAAAUCAUCAUGCCCCUUAUGACCUGGGCUACACACGUGCUACAAUGGACAGAACAAAGGGCAGCGAAACCGCGAGGUUAAGCCAAUCCCACAAAUCUGUUCUCAGUUCGGAUCGCAGUCUGCAACUCGACUGCGUGAAGCUGGAAUC
rnacentral:rRNA from 1 species